AUCAGUCCGACCUUGGACUGAUCCAGUUCAGACUGCGGGACGGGGAUGCUGCAAGUCUCCCCCACUUGGAGUGAACUCGUCCUCGAGUUCAGCAGUCAAUAGAACUUUGUUCUAUCCAAUCAGAACAGUCUCCCCCACUUGGAAUAAAUCCCAAUCAAACGACACUCAUGCCUUGACUCAAUGUCCAGGCUUUCGGUCACU
rnacentral:lncRNA from 1 species